UAAACGGCCUUUGCUAUGUUGCUGAUAAAUACAUUUUCGUUAUCAGUCAUUAGAUGUUUUGCAUUUGGAUACACUUGUAGGAAUGCCGAAAUCUUGUGUGUGCAGAUGUGCGGCAGCUGAGUCCUUCUAUAAAUUCCCAUCGGAACGAGAAUUAGCAAGGCAGCCUUUCCACCAAUACAAACUACCCAAGUGAAGUGGUUAUGUUUUUUUUCGGGAUGUCCUACGGAAUACAGUUUUAGUUAAGAACUUUUUUUAAGUGUAAUGAAAACUAUAUUAGUUUUC